GACGAACGCUGGCGGCGUGCUUAACACAUGCAAGUCGAACGGAAAGGCCCUGCUUUUGUGGGGUGCUCGAGUGGCGAACGGGUGAGUAACACGUGAGUAACCUGCCCUUGACUUUGGGAUAACUUCAGGAAACUGGGGCUAAUACCGGAUAGGAGCUCCUGCUGCAUGGUGGGGGUUGGAAAGUUUCGGCGGUUGGGGAUGGACUCGCGGCUUAUCAGCUUGUUGGUGGGGUAGUGGCUUACCAAGGCUUUGACGGGUAGCCGGCCUGAGAGGGUGACCGGCAACAUUGGGACUGAGAUACGGCCCAGACUCCUACGGGAGGCAGCAGUGGGGAAUAUUGCACAAUGGGCGGAAGCCUGAUGCAGCAACGCCGCGUGCGGGAUGACGGCCUUCGGGUUGUAAACCGCUUUCGCCUGUGACGAAGCGUGAGUGACGGUAAUGGGUAAAGAGGCACCGGCUAACUACGUG
rnacentral:rRNA from 1 species